rnacentral:misc_RNA from 1 species
AAAAAAAAAAAAAAAAAAACCGAAUGUCUGACACCAACAGCAGUAUCACUUACUAUACACUUUUUAGCUCAUGAACAAUGUCGAGGUUCGAGACAAAUAACCACAAUCCCUGUAACUGAUUUUCCAUAAUUUUUUUUUUUUACUUGAAAACAAAAAUACAUAAGUUUUGGGGAAAAAAAAAUUCAAUUGAAAUUCAUUUGUAAAAUAAUUUCUUUCUGUAGCAAACAUUCAUUUUCUGUGCAUAAGAGAAGAAUAAGCAAAAGCAGUAGCAGUCUGUUUGGUCCCUCAGAAACCCAACAGAAAACAACUCACACAGUUACCAUUAGUUUGAAUUUCCAAAUACAAUUUCGAUCAAAACAAAAC